rnacentral:tRNA from 1 species
GCUCGCUUAGCUCAGAAGAGGAGAGCGUUCGGUUUACACCCGAAAGGUCAGAGGUUCGAGUCCUCUAGCGAGUACCA